UUAAACAUAAGAGCAUGAACUUGUUUUAAAGCAUUCCAUAACAUUAAAUGCAACUAUAAAUUGAUUUUAGUAUACUGUGUUGUACUUCAAUAAAUGAAAAAUGUAAAUGUUGACAAAUUGCUGUUGUGAAAGAGAAAUAAAACACUUCUGGAUUUGUUGUUAUAGGAAAAUAAUUAACAUGUGUUGGAACAGCAAUUCCAUUUCAUCAGUGAGUAUUUUAUUUGGUUUGUUUUGGUGUGUUUUAGUGUGUAUCAGUAUGGAUUAGUGUAUAAUACUGUGUGCUGGUGUGUAUCUUUGUGUGUUGGUGUGUAUAGGUAUGUGUUGUUGUGUGUUGGUGUCUAUAGAUGUUUGUUGUUGGGUGCUGGUGUGUAUAGGUGUGUGUCAGUGUGUAUAGGUGUGUGUUGUGGUGUAAUAUUGUGUGUUAGUGUGUAUGGAUGUGUGUUGAUGUGUGUUGGUGUGUAUAGGUGUAUAUUGCGGUGGAAUACUGUGUGUUAGUGUGUAUGGAUGUGUGUUGGUGUGUAUAGCUGUGUGUUGGGGUGGAAUACUGUGUGUUAGUGUGUAUGGAUGUGUGUUGGUGUGUAUAGCUGUGUGUUGGGGUGGAAUACUGUGUGUUAGUGUGUAUGGAUGUGUGUUGGUGUGUAUAGCUGUGUGUUGGGGUGGAAUACUGUGUGUUAGUGUGUAUGGAUGUGUGUUGGUGUGUAUAGGUGUGUGUUGGGGUGGAAUACUGUGUGUUAGUGUGUAUGGAUGUGUGUUGGUGUGUAUAGGUGUGUGUUGGGGUGGAAUACUAUGUGUUAGUGUGUAUGGAUGUGUGUUGGUGUGUAUAGGUGUGUGUUGG
ensembl:lncRNA